GGUGAGGGCAUUUCUCUUUCUGGUUUUCCCUGCCUAUGUGAGACCUUCUAAAGGUAAUCCUGAAUGCAGAACCUGGGCUUUCCUCUGCUUCUUGAACGCCAGUGCCUACAGAAGCCCAUCCCCCAGUGCCCAGCACUGCUGUGUUCUGAUUUCAGGUGGAACAGUGCUGAGCAAAGUUCUGGACCAGAAGCUGAGGGCUUCAAUUCUGACUGCCAUCACUGUGUGCCCUCCAACUGAUAGGACAGUUGUUGCUUGCACACACCUGAGCAGAACAAAGAGUAGUGACUGUGCACUCCUGGCUGUGUAAGGAAACACUAAAAGUUCCCAACGGAAAAUGAGCAGGGAGAACAGGAGGAUGGGGUCCUCUUGCUUUGUCAGCUGGAACAAAUGUCUGCCAGGAUCCUGAGCAGCCUGCAGCGAGCAGUGCGACCCAAAGCUCAGAGAACCAGAGGAAAAGGUGGGGAAGAACUGAAGGCGGCACCGUUUGUUGGGGAUGCUGAUUCUGGGCACUGAAAUAGGCUCUGCAUUGAGGCUGCCUUGCAUUCACUGUUAGCAGCAGAUCUCCAGCUGAUUUUUUUUUUUUUUUUUUAACAAAAGGACAAAUUCUGUUCUUCCAUCCUGCAAUUCUAAUUGCUGCUGUUUGCCCCUGGCUGACUCCCUGCUCCAUACGUUUUAAUGCUUGAGAAUUUUGGAGUGGGAAUUAACACUUUGGAGGGAGUCCUAGAGUCAGAGACACAAACCUGCUGCUGGAAUGGAGUUCUGUGGGGAUAACAGAGGAUGGCGAAGCGAUUACUAAAAGCUCAUUGAAAUUGUUUCAAGGUUUGAUGGUGCUUAGAACAAAUUAGGACCACGGAAGCGGUGUAAAGGGGAGGGGUUAGCAGAGAGCCAUGCAUCUGACAGCCCCAUUCCUGCUCCCACUGCUGUGGAUGCACCCCUCGUCUGCUGUCACACAGCAUGCUGCCGAUGCAGGCAGCUCCCCUGCUCCCCAGACCGUCUUCCUCCAGGCAGUGAGAGGUUUUAAAGUGAGAGAUGUUCUUCUCUGAAAGCUGUAAUUUGGUGAAAAAUAGCAGAAAAUUGUAGGCUUCUUAAUUUUCUUGUUUUCAAUUAUUCCAUUACGUUGUUGUUCCAUGUAUGCGUAAGGACAAGAAGGUUGGUGUUCCUAACUGGUAAUGACACCUUCCAAACUGGUUAAAAUGCUUCUCCCCGUCUUUUGGUUGACCAGCCCCUGGAUGGGAAAUUGCCUCUUAAGAAUUGAGACAUUUGAUAAUUCUAAGAAAAGAGAAGCGGUCACACCCAGGGUUCAUCAAAGGCCCAUCUACAUCAAAACUGUUUUCAUUUGGCAAGAAAAAAAAAUCAAUCAACCAACCCAACCAACUAAAGAAAGAGUUAGAGAAAACAAACACCCGGAGCCUCCCAGCAUGGCCCUGAGUGCUGCUCCUGAUUUUGGAUGACAGCCUGCAGAAUGAUAGCAGCAGCACCCCCACCACGGCACUGUGAGAGCCAUGUUCCCACCUCUGACGUUCUCAGCCCUUCUGUCUGCACCAUGGCAGCCAUCACAGCACGAGCUCACAGCGCAUCGUGGCGCUGGGGUGUCUGUUGGGAGGCUCCUGGGGAAGCACAUCCUUUCUCACGUGUGCUAUCCAUCCUCAUCUGUGUUCCCACAUGGGCUGCUUUGGACUCUCUGCUCUGUUGCAUAGGCAUGUCUGAGUAAAAGCAGUUUAAAACUUCACAAACCUGGGGGAGCAUGGGAGCAGCAGACAAAAGCAGAGCAGUUGGGAUGGAAGUUGCACCAUCAUGGCUAUCAGACUGCUCUCUUCUAACUCAUCUUCCUGCCUCUGUUUUGGUAGAAGUCUCUGCUCAAAAGCUCUUUUGCUGCAGCACUACCAAAACACUCCUUGUUUACUACGGCAGGUCUGUGCAGCUGCAGGUGGUGGGGGAGCAUGGACACAUUGCAUGAGAGGCUGCAGCUUUGCUGCCUUUUUUUUAUGAACAAAUCCUUAAACUUAUGAAAAAAAUAAAAAUCCUCUUGUGCAUUGUUCUGAUGCUUCACCAUUUGUUUCCUCAGCUACAGCAGAAGCACUUCUCUCUUCCCAAACAACAGCUGUUUUGCAACGGGUUGCUUGUGUAGAAGAUGCUAUAACACAGUCCUUACUACUCACUGCAUGCCUACCU